rnacentral:rRNA from 1 species
AGAACGAACGCUGGCGGCAGGCCUCAAACAUGCAAGUCUAGGGGGUGUAGCAAUACAUCACCGGCGGACGGGUGCGUAACGCGUGGGAAUGUACCUAUUGGUUCGGAACAACUGAGGGAAACUUCAGCUAAUACCGGAUGAGCCCGAAAGGGGAAAGAUUUCUCGCCAAUAGAUCAGCCCGCGUCCGAUUAGCUAGUUGGUGGGGUUAAAGCCUACCAAGGCGACGAUCGGUAGCUGUUCUGAGAGGAAGAUCAGCCACACUGGGACUGAGACACGGCCCAGACUCCUACGGGAGGCAGCAGUUGGGAAUCUGGACAAUGGGGGAAACCCUGAUCCAGCCAUGCCGCGUGAGUGAUGAAGGCCUUCGGGUUGUAAAACUCUUUCGACGGGACGAUAAUGACGGUACCCGUAGAAGAAGCUCCGGCUAACUUCGUGCCAGCAGCCGC